rnacentral:lncRNA from 1 species
CUUCACUUUUGGAUUUGUUGGUAUAAGUGUGGAUACCAAUUGGCGUAGCCUUUCAACGUGCCAUUUUACGUCUUCAAUAUUAUCGGUGAUCCGGUCAAACGUGGCAUCGACAUUGGUGGCAGCCAUGGUAUCUAAAAUAAAAAUAACAACGAACAACAAAACAAACAAACUUGUUAGCUUAAAAAUGCCUCACCACACUCUCACUCUCGAUUUUUAUCUCACACUUAAUUUCACAAGUGUUGAAAGCCGGAUGGUAUUUCGUGAGUGAUUGAGGGUCGAGUCUACUCUUGCCUGGAAUAGAUUUUCAUUUGAGUUGAGUCAAAGAAAAUUUAUUUACGGACUUGAACCAACAAAAUACAAUGAAUUCACAAAAGAGAAAAGCACAUAACAAAUUCUUAACACGAAUGAACGAACACAAAGACUAACUAAAAAUCUAGUUGAUGAGUACUAGUUUGCCAAUUAGUAUUGGAACCAACAAAAUUGAAACCAAGGAACAACAAAAGGAAACUAAGAAAUCUGAAAUUUGAGCUUAAGUAUGUUGUGUGAACAGUAAAAUAUGAUGAUGUGGAAGCCAUGUAGUAGUCUCGAUCCCACACAACUUUUGUUGUAAAAUUUCAAGUGUUGGUCAAUUUUUCAAUUUGGACUUUGGUGGAAUUUGUUUAAGGAGGUUCAAACAAGUCUUGGAGCCCUUUUCAAUUUCAAGUUUUAAUGACUUGACUCUCUUGUAAUUCUCCUUAAAAUAUGGAUCCUUAAAUCAUGAAAAAGUAUUGGAAAGUGGUUGAGACUUGAUUGACAGGGCUUUGCUGGUUAUAGUGUCUUUUAAGACUUACAAAUAAUACACCCUUUUCCUUCAACUUUUUGGAUUUAGCAUUCACUUUAUAUUCAACAAUAUAUGAAGGUGGUGAUGAACAUCAAUAACAACAACAACAACACCAAGAACUACAACAAUAGUCUUCAAGAACACUAAUAAUUUUUACAUGGCCACUCCCGAAUUCCAUAAUAACAAUAUCUCCAACACUUGGCCAAGAUAACUAAAACUACAACAAAAUGGUUCUCGAGCCACCAAUUAACAACAAUAUCACAUGGUCAAGCUUAGAUCAUCAAGAAGAAACCACACGGCCAAAAAAAUCCACCAUAACAAUGUUCAACAACAAUGGGCCAAGUUUAUGUUCACAACAACAACAUCAAAAUACAAGCUCAAAUCAAGAUAUAGACUCAAUAUUUUAGUGAGGAACAAAACUAACACUUAGAGAUAACAAAGACAAGUAUAAAUCUCGGCCAAGACACAACAAAAACAAAAUUUUUGGCCAAGAACACGAAAUAGACAGAUUGCUCUCUUUUCUUGAAUUUUCAGUUUUCAACUUUUUUUUUUUCUACUCUCAAGCCUAAGAUUGAUCUUGUAGGAACAAGAUCAAGCCAUGAUUUGAUACCAAAUGAUACAAGAUAACCAAGGAGACACAAAACAAACACCAUAAUCAGUCCACUAGUCAAGAAACCGAGGACCUCUUUUGGUGACCACUCUCGGAUUCUCUACCAGUAAGAAGAAUACAAGGCACAAUGGUGUAUGAAACACUAAAAAGGCAACAAAACAACAAGAACAAGAUAAAAAAUAGACAAGUUUUGAAUUCCACAUUAAGAACACAAAUACACAGUUACAACAUCAACACUACUACAUGAUUACAAAGAAAUAGAAGGACAGAUAGUUAGACAAAAUGAAGGCAUAAUCUUAAAAACCCAAGAGCCUAUUCCACUCUUAGACCUUUAACAUCACACACAACAAAUACCUAACUCUUACGUUGGUACAAAAUUGACAUUGAUCUUCCAAACAUCUAACAUUUCCAACUUUCAAUCCAACACGAGUGAUUCCACACUCAUGUUGAAAGCCCUAGUUAUAAGUUUCAUCCAUGGGGGACAUUCUCACAAGAGAGAGUGUUUCAAGUGUUACAACUUUCAAUAUUCAACAACAACUAAGUAAUAAAUAACCUAACAUAUUCUAUUUAUAGUAGGUUACAAAAAUAGUGUGAAAUAUCCAAAAGACCCCUUAGUCAAAUGCUUCACUUUAUGCUCCCUUGGAGUGUAGAAUGUGGACUAUUUUUGGAGCCUGUUUAGGCCCUCCUUUGCACUUCAUUUGAACACUCCAAGACUCGGGUUCAAUAUAUCUCACAUAUAUCUACCUUCAUGGUCGUACUCGUAUCAAGUUGGGAGUAGGAUUAGCACCAAGUGAACCCAGGGAUGGGUGUAUUCCUGUUAGCGUAGGGUUUGAACCUUAGUAGCAAUCCCUUAGUUAUAGAACUACGUAGCUAGCAUAGGUUGAGAUGACUUUUUGAAAGAUAAGGGUUGACACAUCUCUCAUGAGUUUUCCUGUCAGUGAGGGUUGACAAAAUAUCUUCCUUCUAGUUAGGGUUAACUCACAGCUAGUGUUAAUACUCGUGGAAUGGCAUUGACACCCUUCCAAUUAGGGUUACAGGUUGGACCCCAAUCAGCUAAGAGAAGGGUAUAUCGGUUAGAUGAUUACCUCCCACUAUUUUAUCUUUAGUCUUUAAUUUAGAACUCAGUUCAGCUCUACAGAAUCAAGACUGUCAGACAUAAUUAAUCAGUAUUAGAAAAUUAGUUAUCAAUAAUUUCAGAUAUCAGUAUUACAGUAUUCAAAAAUCAGUACUUAACUUCAGAAUAGCUACUCUUAUAUUCAGUUACACUAUAUUAUUUAGUUAAUUAUUAUUCAUGUAUAUGAACCCUUGAAUUCAGACUUACCUCAUCUAGCAUACCAGUACAUUCUCACAUACUGAUGCAUACUUUCUAAGCUAUGAUAUUUUAUAUCAUAGGUUCGGACGCUCAGGUUCCUGAAUGUGCUUAGCCAGACUCAGCCAGCAGUAGCAGAUUUAGUAGUGAGUCCUCAUCUAUCGAGGAUAUGCUUUUAUUUCAGUGCUUAAGCUUAGCAAUAUUUUAGUAGAUGGAGUUAGUUGGGGGAUUAUCCCAUCAACUCCACUUUCAGACAGAUUUAGUUAGAGGCUUUUUAGACUAGAUUUUCAGAGAGUAUUUUAGAUUCAGAUGUUAUAUUUUAUUAGUAUUUAAGAUGUUUUGAACUUUAUGGAAUUUCAGCCUAAUUUUUCUACAUUAAUUUUAGUAUUAUUAUUCAGUGCUCAUAGCAGAUAUCAUUCAUGGGUUAACUUAUGUUCCUUCGAGCUCAUAAGCACUGUGUGACAACUAGGGGGUAGUCUCGGGUCGUUACAAACAUGGUAUCAAAGCCUAAGGUUCAAUAGUAUCCUAAGAAGUCUAUAAAACCGCAUCGCAUAGAGUCUUUUGUAUGGGUGUGCUGCGUGCCACACUUAUGGACAGGAGGCUAUGAGAUGUUUUAGGAAAAGUUUCCCUUCUUUUAGUAUUCAUAUCGUGCGAGUGAGCAUGAGCUCAAUUUAAUCUCUCAGUCUAAUCCACUUCUUCCUUUUAUUUACAAAAUAUGCUUCCCAAAAGGACUAAUGAAAGAAGAAUCAAAAACCAUUCAGCCCCUCAGCCCGUUCAGGCAGAUCCCCUGGACGAACAUGUCUCUCACAUAAAAUUCAGAGUUGCAUUCACUACUCUAGCCAAUUCGGUCGCAGCCCUAAAUAAAUGGCCAACUGCUGUUCUGGCCAACCAAGUGGCCAAUACUGCUGCAACCAGGAUUAGAGACUUCACCCGAAUGAAUCCUCCUUCCUUUAUAGGAUCUAAGUCAGAAGAGAAUCCACAUGAGUUUCUCGAUCAGGCUAAAAAAGUCACAAAUAUCAUGGGAGUGACUUCCAAUGAAAGUGCCAAGUUAUCCACUUAUCAUCUAAAAGAUAUAGCCAUACAUGGUUUAAUCAGUGAAAGGUAGACAAGGGUAUAGAUACAGAGCUGAUAAAGUGGAAAAAAUUUCUACUGCCUUCCUAGAUAGAUUCUUUCCCUUAGAGUUGAGAGAAGAUAAAGUGUUAGAGUUCAUCAAUCUCAAAUAAGGUAGUAUAAGCAUAAAAGAGUAUUCCCUUAACUUUACUCAGUUAGCCAGGUGUGCUCCAUAUGUAGUAGUAGACAAUAGGCCCAGAAUAAGAAAGUUUGUAUCUGGGGUGUCAGAUAGGGUGGUUAAGGAGUGAAAAAUAGAAAUGCUGAUUAAAGAGAUAGGCAUAUCUAGGCUUAUGGUCCAUGCUCAACAGAUUGAGGAGUAAAAGCUUAAUAAGAAGGAGAGAAAGAAUUAAAAUGCUAGAACAGGUAGCUUUAAUUUUAGUCAGCCUAAGUCAGAAGAUAGUAACCAUUCCCAGUUUCAUCCAAAAUCUUCAGUUCCAGCUUCAUCUUCAGCUAGUGCGCCAGUACCAAAAUUCAAGAAUGACCAUUGGGAUAGGGCGCAGGCUCCAAAACCCAGGGUAGUGUGAGCAGUGGUCGUAGCCAUCCACUUUGUGAAGAAUAUGGUAAAAAUCACCUAGGUGUGUGUAAAUUCGGUAGUAAUAUGUGUUUUAGAUGUGGAAAGUUAGGUCAUAGAGUCCGAGAAUGUCCUAAGGCUAGUCUGCAAAGUCAGCACAGUCAUCUUCCAGUUCUAUCCGAUCUCCCAACUCAGAAGGGCUCUACUUCCAGUACCACUAGUGGUCAACACUAGAGCAGAUUUUAUGUACUCCAGUAUCACCAUGAUCAGGGAAGUUCUCCUGAUAUAGUUAUGGGUACGUUAUAAGUUUUUCAUCUUUAUGUUUAUGCCUUGUUAGAUCCCGAGGCUUCUCGUCCUUUAUAACCCCUAUAUAGCCAUCAACUUUGGUGUCAGACCCGAAAUAUUAGCAGAGCCCUCCUCAGCGUCUACCUCAGACUCUAGAAGUAAAGUGAUGAUAGUUUUGUUUGGAGUUUAUUAAGUGAUCCACAGGUUUAGAAUAAUGGCUCUAAACUAAAGGGGAGAUAGUAGAACAAGUAACCAAGUCAGGCAUUUAAAUUUUAGUGGUAAAGUCAGUACUCAUGCCUUAUAUGUUAGUUCUAUAAUCACAGAUCAUAUUCGCGUACAUCAUCGAAAAAUCAUGCAUGCCUAAAAUUCUUAGUAUAAGGAGUUCUAGUUCACUCAGUACUCAGUUCCAUUAUAGUCUCAGUUAUCAUCUUAGAUGCAGUCUCAGUCACAGUCUUAGCCUAGUAAUCAGAUCAGUAUCUCUAUUUAAAGACUAUUUUAUAAUCAAAUUAUAUGCUAGGUCCUGCAAUCUUAGAUAAUUCAGUUUUCACGAAUUCAUGAUCAGUUAUGUCAUGAUACUCAGUCAGUCCCUUUCUCAUAUUCAUAAUGCUCUACAGUUUUAGUCCAAUUAUUUUGACCAAGUAUAGUUCAGUCUCAUGCGCCCAAUAUUCCCCUAUUAGCCAUUAAGUUAAUCAAAUAAGUUAGUAUGUUUAAGCAUUCGUGCUUAGUGCCCAUAUAAAUAUUUCCAGUAGUCAUAAAUGAAGUACCAUGCUAAUAUGUAGUAUAUUGUUGAGAGAGUAUUUGAUGAAUAUGUCUAAGCUUGAAAAUUUAUAGUUAUAGGGCGUAAAUUUCAGUCACGAUUCAGUUCGUAGGUGCCCCGUGCAUUGUCUCAUUCUUAUCCUUAGUAUCUCCACCAAGUCAAAUUCUUCAAGGGACAUAGUGUCCUAAGGGGGAAAUGCACUAUAAUCUCUGAGCUUUCAUGUCCUAAACUUUCUAUUUCCUCAUCACAAAACGAAUCCAAUUUGAGGUAGUGGGUACUCAUAGUUGACCCUCAAGUAGCAAUAUCACCCAUAAGCUAUGUACUUAAGGGCUCAGUUUAAUUCUCAAUAUUUAGUUUGUGUAUCACAUUUCAGACUCGUUCAUAUUCUCAUGUGCCUGUUCAUACGUGUUCAGUAAGUGAUCUAAGGCUUAUCAGUGUCCUCAACUUAAGGUAAUAGUCUUCCUUAGAUCUAAUCAGUCCCAUAUUCAGUUACAAACAUAAGUCUUAGUAUCAGUUAUCAUUGCAUAUUCAGUCACGCAUUUAUUAAUCAGUUCAGUCAUGUAUUCCAUGCAUCCGAUAUGCCUGUUCAGUAUAGAAACUCAGUUUGUCAGUAGUUCAGGCAUGUAGUCAUGUUUUAGUAUGCAUGUUCGUGUGUCAUCUCAGUCUAUUAGUGUUUCUUAUCCUAUCCAGUCUCAUUUGAGGAUGAAUGUUCCCAAGGGGGAGAUAUUGUAACACCCCAUAGUUUUACCUAGCUUAAAUUCAUCCUAAAAAUGUUAAAGAGUUUCUUUAAAGAUGAAUACACAUUUAUACAUGUGGAGUUUUCAAUAUUUUGACUUUUGAUUGUGUGGGAAAUUGAAUAAGAUUUCCAUCGAUAUAAAAUUCGCCCAAAUUCGACACUCGGGCGAAGAGUUAGAGACAUUUUAGUAAGACAGUGUACCACCUGGUACUGUAGCGCGUCACGGAGGCAGUUCAAAUGGAAUUUGUCAUUUUUCAGUGAGACAACACGAUUCCACCAUGUCACUCAAUUACACUUUUUCCCAAUUGUCAUUUUCUAGUGAGGUACCACGAUACCGACACGCUGCACCACAACUUAGUUUUACAUUUAUCAGUUUCUAAUACACUUACACAAUCCCACCGCAUUGCAGUGAACUUCAAGAUUUCAUCCAAGCGCAGCCCUAAAUAAAUGGCCAACUGCUGUUCUGGCCAACCAAGUGGCCAAUACUGCUGCAACCAGGAUUAGAGACUUCACCCGAAUGAAUCCUCCUUCCUUUAUAGGAUCUAAGUCAGAAGAGAAUCCACAUGAGUUUCUCGAUCAGGCUAAAAAAGUCACAAAUAUCAUGGGAGUGACUUCCAAUGAAAGUGCCAAGUUAUCCACUUAUCAUCUAAAAGAUAUAGCCAUACAUGGUUUAAUCAGUGAAAGGUAGACAAGGGUAUAGAUACAGAGCUGAUAAAGUGGAAAAAAUUUCUACUGCCUUCCUAGAUAGAUUCUUUCCCUUAGAGUUGAGAGAAGAUAAAGUGUUAGAGUUCAUCAAUCUCAAAUAAGGUAGUAUAAGCAUAAAAGAGUAUUCCCUUAACUUUACUCAGUUAGCCAGGUGUGCUCCAUAUGUAGUAGUAGACAAUAGGCCCAGAAUAAGAAAGUUUGUAUCUGGGGUGUCAGAUAGGGUGGUUAAGGAGUGAAAAAUAGAAAUGCUGAUUAAAGAGAUAGGCAUAUCUAGGCUUAUGGUCCAUGCUCAACAGAUUGAGGAGUAAAAGCUUAAUAAGAAGGAGAGAAAGAAUUAAAAUGCUAGAACAGGUAGCUUUAAUUUUAGUCAGCCUAAGUCAGAAGAUAGUAACCAUUCCCAGUUUCAUCCAAAAUCUUCAGUUCCAGCUUCAUCUUCAGCUAGUGCGCCAGUACCAAAAUUCAAGAAUGACCAUUGGGAUAGGGCGCAGGCUCCAAAACCCAGGGUAGUGUGAGCAGUGGUCGUAGCCAUCCACUUUGUGAAGAAUAUGGUAAAAAUCACCUAGGUGUGUGUAAAUUCGGUAGUAAUAUGUGUUUUAGAUGUGGAAAGUUAGGUCAUAGAGUCCGAGAAUGUCCUAAGGCUAGUCUGCAAAGUCAGCACAGUCAUCUUCCAGUUCUAUCCGAUCUCCCAACUCAGAAGGGCUCUACUUCCAGUACCACUAGUGGUCAACACUAGAGCAGAUUUUAUGUACUCCAGUAUCACCAUGAUCAGGGAAGUUCUCCUGAUAUAGUUAUGGGUACGUUAUAAGUUUUUCAUCUUUAUGUUUAUGCCUUGUUAGAUCCCGAGGCUUCUCGUCCUUUAUAACCCCUAUAUAGCCAUCAACUUUGGUGUCAGACCCGAAAUAUUAGCAGAGCCCUCCUCAGCGUCUACCUCAGACUCUAGAAGUAAAGUGAUGAUAGUUUUGUUUGGAGUUUAUUAAGUGAUCCACAGGUUUAGAAUAAUGGCUCUAAACUAAAGGGGAGAUAGUAGAACAAGUAACCAAGUCAGGCAUUUAAAUUUUAGUGGUAAAGUCAGUACUCAUGCCUUAUAUGUUAGUUCUAUAAUCACAGAUCAUAUUCGCGUACAUCAUCGAAAAAUCAUGCAUGCCUAAAAUUCUUAGUAUAAGGAGUUCUAGUUCACUCAGUACUCAGUUCCAUUAUAGUCUCAGUUAUCAUCUUAGAUGCAGUCUCAGUCACAGUCUUAGCCUAGUAAUCAGAUCAGUAUCUCUAUUUAAAGACUAUUUUAUAAUCAAAUUAUAUGCUAGGUCCUGCAAUCUUAGAUAAUUCAGUUUUCACGAAUUCAUGAUCAGUUAUGUCAUGAUACUCAGUCAGUCCCUUUCUCAUAUUCAUAAUGCUCUACAGUUUUAGUCCAAUUAUUUUGACCAAGUAUAGUUCAGUCUCAUGCGCCCAAUAUUCCCCUAUUAGCCAUUAAGUUAAUCAAAUAAGUUAGUAUGUUUAAGCAUUCGUGCUUAGUGCCCAUAUAAAUAUUUCCAGUAGUCAUAAAUGAAGUACCAUGCUAAUAUGUAGUAUAUUGUUGAGAGAGUAUUUGAUGAAUAUGUCUAAGCUUGAAAAUUUAUAGUUAUAGGGCGUAAAUUUCAGUCACGAUUCAGUUCGUAGGUGCCCCGUGCAUUGUCUCAUUCUUAUCCUUAGUAUCUCCACCAAGUCAAAUUCUUCAAGGGACAUAGUGUCCUAAGGGGGAAAUGCACUAUAAUCUCUGAGCUUUCAUGUCCUAAACUUUCUAUUUCCUCAUCACAAAACGAAUCCAAUUUGAGGUAGUGGGUACUCAUAGUUGACCCUCAAGUAGCAAUAUCACCCAUAAGCUAUGUACUUAAGGGCUCAGUUUAAUUCUCAAUAUUUAGUUUGUGUAUCACAUUUCAGACUCGUUCAUAUUCUCAUGUGCCUGUUCAUACGUGUUCAGUAAGUGAUCUAAGGCUUAUCAGUGUCCUCAACUUAAGGUAAUAGUCUUCCUUAGAUCUAAUCAGUCCCAUAUUCAGUUACAAACAUAAGUCUUAGUAUCAGUUAUCAUUGCAUAUUCAGUCACGCAUUUAUUAAUCAGUUCAGUCAUGUAUUCCAUGCAUCCGAUAUGCCUGUUCAGUAUAGAAACUCAGUUUGUCAGUAGUUCAGGCAUGUAGUCAUGUUUUAGUAUGCAUGUUCGUGUGUCAUCUCAGUCUAUUAGUGUUUCUUAUCCUAUCCAGUCUCAUUUGAGGAUGAAUGUUCCCAAGGGGGAGAUAUUGUAACACCCCAUAGUUUUACCUAGCUUAAAUUCAUCCUAAAAAUGUUAAAGAGUUUCUUUAAAGAUGAAUACACAUUUAUACAUGUGGAGUUUUCAAUAUUUUGACUUUUGAUUGUGUGGGAAAUUGAAUAAGAUUUCCAUCGAUAUAAAAUUCGCCCAAAUUCGACACUCGGGCGAAGAGUUAGAGACAUUUUAGUAAGACAGUGUACCACCUGGUACUGUAGCGCGUCACGGAGGCAGUUCAAAUGGAAUUUGUCAUUUUUCAGUGAGACAACACGAUUCCACCAUGUCACUCAAUUACACUUUUUCCCAAUUGUCAUUUUCUAGUGAGGUACCACGAUACCGACACGCUGCACCACAACUUAGUUUUACAUUUAUCAGUUUCUAAUACACUUACACAAUCCCACCGCAUUGCAGUGAACUUCAAGAUUUCAUCCAAGGGGAAACGAGAUUCCACCGCAUCACGUUGAUGGUCCAAUUACCAGUUGUCCACCUUCUUGUGACACGGCGCGAUAGCACCGCGUCGCGCUCAGGGCCCAGAUCAGGAUUUUUUAGUUAAUUUCCAGUUUUAAAUUUUGAGAUUUUAAAUUAUUCUAGGGGUAUUUGAGUCUUUUUCCAAGGCCCUAGUGAGACUUUAACACAAAAUUCAACUCUAAUAAACCUAGUUACACCAUUAUUCAUUCAGUUUUUCCCCAAAAUUAAAUUAUUCUCUCUCAAGAGGCAAAAACUCUAGUUCAAGAAUCAAGGUCAAUUCUACGAAAUCUCUCCAAGAACUCUUCUUCUCAGGUAUUUUAGGUGUUCAUUUAUGGGUUCCUUUCACCCAUAGAGUCCAAUAAUCCCUUUUUAAAUAUACAAGAUCUUAGAUUUAUGAUUUUUGUAUUUGAAUUAGAUUGAAUUCAUUUUUAUAAUAUUAGUUGGAUUCCAAUCCAUGAUUUAAGUGCAAGUUUCAUGAAAUUGAAUAGCAUGUGUAGUGAAUAUGUGAUUAUCUUGAUAAACCCUUGAAUUUACAAAGUGAUUAAUGUGUCUAUGAUAUUAAUUGGGUUUUAAUCUAUGAUUAUUAUAUGACUCAUUAAAUUAGAUUAGUAUUCUUAUGGGGAAUUAUAUAAAUUGCAUACUAAACUCACAGAAUUGUAAUUUGGGCAUUAUAGUUGCCAUGUUUAUAUGUUAUCCAUGAUUAUGUGCAUGAUGUUGAGCUCCCUAAGUGUUUGAUAGAAUGUCCAUGUGAAUAAAGAGAUAAAAUCAUGACAUGUUAGUAUAUGAACAAGCUUAUGCCCUACAAGUGUUUGAUAAAAUGCUUAUGUGAAUUGACUAGUGAAGGCAUGCCAUGUUAUUAUGUGAUCCAAUCUAUGUACAAGUUAAUGCAUUACAAGUGUCUGAUAAAAUAUCUCUUCAAAUGAAUUAUGACCAAGUGAACAUUGUUAUGUUAUUCAAGAUGAUACUUUGCUUUACUUUUCAUACUAUCGAGUCCUGAGGGUAUUUAACACCCGACAAUAUAGCUAUUACUUAGAGCUAGUGUCAGUUACAGAAUAGUAUCAGUCAUGUCACAAUCAGUAGUACUCUCAGCCUAUUACAUAACUCAUUAGAACUCAGUCAGUUACAGAAUAAAGAAAAACUCAGUAAACUCUGUAUCAGUCCAGUCUAGUCUAGUGUCUUCUAGUUGGGAGUAGAAUUCAGCACCGAAUGAACCCAGGGAUGGGGGAAUUCCUAUUAGUGUAGGGUUUGACCCUUAGUAGCAAUCCUGAGUUACAGAACUACGUAGCCAGCAUAGGUUGAGAUGACUUCCUGUUUGAUAAGGGCUGACACAUCUGUCAUAAGUUUUCCUGUCAGCGAGGGUUGACAAAAUGUCUUCCUGCUAGUUAGGGUUAAGUCACAGCUAGUGUUAGUACCAUUGGAAUGAUAUUAGCACCCUUCAAACUGGGGUUACAUGUUAGACCCCAAUCAGCUUAGAGAGGGGCAUAUUGGUUAGAUGAUUUCCUCCCACAGUUUUAAUUUCAGUCUUUAAUUUAGAACUCUAUUCAGCUCUAUAGAAUUAGAACUAUCAAAAACAGUCAAUCAAUAUCACAAAUUUAGUUAUCAGUAAUUUUGGAUAUCAGUUUUACAGUAUUUAGAACUCAGUACUUAGCUUCAGAAAAGCUCAGUUAUAGUAUAUGCGUACUCUUAUAUUCAAUUACUCUAUAUUAUUUAGUCAAUUAUUGUUCAUGCAUAUGAACCCUUACAUUCAGACUUACCUCAUCUAGCAUACCAGUACAUUCCCACGUACUGACGCAUACUUUCCGCGCUAUGAUGUUUCAUAUCAUAGGUUUGGAUGCUCAGGUUCCUGACUGCGCUUAGCCAGACUCAACCAGCAGUAGUAGAUUUAGCAGUGAGUCCUUAUCUAUUGAAGAUAUGCUUUCACUUCAGUACUUUAGCUUAGCAGUAUUUUAGUAGAUGGAGUUAGUUGGGGGAUUGUCCCAUCAAUUCCACUUUCAGAUAGAUUCAGUUAGAGGCUUUUCAAACUAGAUUUUCAGAUAGUAUUUUAGAUUCAGAUGUUAUAUUUAUUAGUAUUUAUGAUGUUUUGAACCUUAUGGCAUUUCAUCCCAAUUUUCCCUCAUUAAUUUCAGUAUUAUUAUUCAGUGCUCACAAUAAAUAUCAUUCAUGAGUUAUCUUAUGGUCCUUCGGGGUCAUAAGCACAGUGUGACGACUAGGGGUAGUCUCAGGUAGUUACAUCCUUAUUUCUUAGGGUAAGGCUUUCUAACAUAACCUUCUAAAUAUUUAUUCGAUGUGAUAACUCUUUUUAGGAUGAUAACCUCAACUUUUUGCCACCUCAUUUCUGAUGGCACACUCUUGUUUUCCAUAUACCCUCCAAUUUCCUCCAGGAGUAGGGUCACUUCUACAUCUCCAAAUUUAAACACUGAUCUUGUCUCCUCCCAAAAUGCUGGGGAAGCUUCAAUAAGCUCUCUACACGGGGAAACUUGCAUAAGGGAUGGCUCGCUUUCCAACCCCUUCUUGCUAUGCUUUGCCAUAACAACCUAAGUCCAACCACCAAGACACCAUGUGUGGUGGCAUGCACAAAACCAUGCAAAACCUUGGAUAAGAAGUUGGAAUGGCCAUAGAAUCUCCAAAAACAAAGUGUUUGCCUAGCCUACCCCCAAGAUCAAAUGACAUUAUUUAGGCAUAAUUGUCUCUCAAAAUGCACAUAAAUAGGUAGACAUUCUUUUCGAGAAUAUGGAAUCUCUUAGAACUUAGGGCUAAGCUUUCUAAUAUAACAUCUUAGGCUUUUAGGAUGUUUAUUCUUUAGUAAAUAAAUGGUUAGGCUCUAGGAAUAAGAGUAGUUACGUACACGGUCCCUUCAAGUGGACAACUUGUGAGUGGGAAAGCUUAUGGCUGUCGAUGUACCACUGAUCGAUCAAUCUACAAGGAAUUUCCCAAAGGUGUUUUAGGAAAGAACGUCCGUGUGCCCACAUAACCAUUUGUAAAAGAAAACAAAAGAGGUUCCAAGUAAAGAAAAUUAUGAGCGGAAUGUUAGUUAUAUAAAGUAGUAACCCAUAACACGUAGCAAAAUUAUAAUAACAUGCUUAGCAAUAUAAAAGUAAAUUAACAUUGAAACCUAUAGCUAACAGCAAGGAAAAAAAUAGGAUAAGCAUGGAGAAUACAUAAAAAGGGGAAAUGAGGAGAGACUAACAUGUAAAAAUAAACCAGGAUUAAAAUAAACAAUAAAAAAGGAAAGGGAUAUGGAAAAUGUUAACGUAGAAAAUAAAUCAUGAUGAUAAAAUAAAACAAACAUCAAAACAAAACUUAGACAAGUAGAAAGAAUCCCACAUACAACACAAAUUCUUCAUGGUUAGAACGUAAGAUCCGCCACAGAGUCGCUAUUUUGUCGCGCCCUAUUUUUCUUGCAAAAAGCAAAAUUCGACAUGGCAACUCUUUUAAGGAUGAAUUAAAGUGUGUGAAGAGUCACCACCUAACAUAUUAAGGUAUGUUAGUGCACCAUUCUAGGUUAAAUAUGAGCCUAUUUUGUUAUUUAGUCUUUGUUCAACAGAAAUUUGGGUAAGUGUUCAAAUUACCUCGAAAGAAAGGUGUUAGGUAUCUUUCGAGGUCCACAAAUGUGGUUACUGACCGAAUUCAUAUUUUUAAGUGGGAAUUCUACGUGAUAAAAUAAAGGUCACUUAUUUUGCAAACUUAAUGUUACUAAGUGAUAAAAAUAAUAAAUAAAACUUUCAACUAGUGUACAUAUCAUACAAAGAGUAACAAAAAUACUAGAGAAAAAUACGAGAAAUGUGAGACUGAUCUCUUGCGACAUGUAAAUAAUAUCAUAAUUCUUGUAAUCUUCAUCUUUCCCAAAUUAUGGACUCUAGCAAGCUCCUUUUCUCUUAGCAUGAGGACAAACUUGGAGGAUGAUAAACUAUAAAUUGAGCUUUUGUUAAAGUAAGGAGAAACUACAAAUGAUGCAAAACUUGUUAGUAAUAUACGUGUCACCUCAAUUUUGGUGACAAAUUAAUGUAAAAGAUUAAUAAAAGUAAAUAAGUAAUUCAGUAAAACAUACAUAAAAUAAAAGGAUAAGCGAGAAUAUGAGUGGGAUUAGGGCUUGAUAAGGUUGAAACGGGCCCAAUACGAUAUUACUUUAUUUGUUCUAAUUUCUAUGUUGACUCUCUUAAAUGCCAUAAGGCAAGAUGAAAAAAUUCUUAAAGAAACUUAUUUAACAGUACUAAAUAAAUAUUUUUGCAUUUAUAGGUCAUUUGAAGCAAAAAAAUAUAUAGGCGUAACAUAUAAAUUGUUUCAAAGCGUAUUGCUAUAGUAUAGUAGUAAAAGUUAUCUAGUCAUUGAAACGUUUAAAAUAGUGACAUAUUAAAUAAGAAAAAAAGGGUGUCACGAGGCGCUUUAUAUUUUAAUAAAGCUAUGUGUGCUUUAUAUGAGAAGUUAGAUAUUGUCUGUCUUUGUUUGUCAUUAUUUCCCAAAAUGUACCUUAUCUCCACUAAGGGGCGACUACUCCCUUUAAACUCAAUUUCACGUGUUACUUUUCCACUCACCAUGGUUGGACUCCAACUAUUUCCAACUCCAUUAUGAUGUACAUGUAAAACAAUAUUUAAAGUGUGUGUUGGGGGGAGAGUAUAUCUAUUUUUUGCGUAGCCAAUUAGUUGAACAAAAAUUAAGCCGUAAAAAUAAUAAAGACUCUUAAUUAAAAUAAGCACAUAAUUAAGAAGAAAAGGAGUUAGAUAAUUGAGUGUUUUCAGAUCACUUUUUACUGGACAAUAGAAUUUGACAUAAAUUUGUACAUCGUCUUGCUCUUCUCAAUAUUAAAAUAAUAAAGUAGUCGUUAAAAUUUUUUGCAGCGGCCCAAUGCAUUGCUAGCUCAAGAAAACAACACUAUUGAUUAAACUAAGAAUUACGUUAACUAUUGAUAAUUCUCAUCUUGAUUAAGUUUUUACUCAUGCAUGCAAAAGCUCACUAUGACAUGAAAAGUUUAUUAUAUUACAUAUAUCAGUUAGUAUGAAAUAAGAGAAUUAAUAAUAAAUAUAUAGAAGUAUAAUUGAAGAUGGUUACAACUUCUAUUUUGGAGACAAAACAUGCUAAUUGUUGAUUAAUUAAUAUAAAGAGAGCAACUAGAGAGAGAUCCAACUGUUCGACAGAAGCAACAAACACACAAAAUGGAGUAAAAGAAAUGUAAAGGGUGGAUCUUUUACAACAAAUGAGUUUAUUCAAUAUUAACAAAAAGUUUUCAAUAAAUUCACAAGAUAGAUAUCUUAAAUAGACCACAGUUAUCAUUCGUUUUACACGUUUCUUAUUAGCAUUCAUUGUUUGAGCACAUAAUAACCAUUAACCCAAUGUCAAAUGAGCAGUACAAAGUAAAACUAAAAGAUUCUAACAAUAGACAUUAAUAAUGAUACAAAUAAGCAAAUAAAAUAGAAAAUAAAGAAUUGUAAAAGGAGGACCUUGAAUCGACGAAUCCGACCAUUUUAUACAGAGAAAUCAGAAUAUCAAGAAGAGUCCCUCAAUGGAUCCUUAACGUCGAUCUAAAUUGCAACCAGGUAUGUCUCACGGGAAACUCAUAAUGAUUUUCAUGGUUGACAAUGGAAGAUGAUAGAGCCAUAGAGAUUGCUGCCUUCUGCAUCUUGGCCCAAGUUCAAUAGUGGUGUUUUGAGUUUUUGGGGGGAUGAAGGUGGUGUUCCCCCAUGUAAAUAUCAAAGCUGCAAGGACAUAUGUGUCCUCUAUAGCAUCAAUUAUAUGCGUUUUUGGAGAAGAAAUAUCACAAUUAGUGGCAUUAUGUAUGUAAUUGCCUCAUAAAGAAUGACGUGAGAGAGUUGUGUUUGCUCCUCUGUGUGUGUCUCUAUCCAUGUUCUCUCGUUCCCCCAAG